rnacentral:lncRNA from 1 species
AAUAAGGUGGACGAGGAUUUGUGCACGGUAUAACCCGAGGUAGUUCGCGGUGGUUGCGGAUGAUCGAGGUGGGCGAGGAGGAGGACGAGGAUGACGAGGACUUGUACACUUUCUGUGCCCCACGUGGUGAUCCACUAGUACACAUCCUCCGACGUGACAUCGCUGUGCUACGUAUAAA